GAGAGAGGUUAAAGCAGUAAGGAGUGCUAAUCCCUACGUCCAUGGUUAACUCUCAUCAAACGGAUGGGAGUCCCACCUGCCCGGUGAUAU
rnacentral:tRNA from 1 species